UCGAAAUCGAGGCUCACCUGGCCAAAGGAAAAAAAGUUUCCAGCUUCGUUCCCGGUCCGCCUCAGUCGCUGCUUCGUGUAACGCUCAUCGAGUGGUUUGCGAGUAACCCUUGUUGCUGACGGCGUGAGAACUGUCGCCGAUCAACGAAUGUGGACAUGCGAUGCGGGCAAAUGAACGGCUGUGAAGAAUGCAACUCGGUGUCCGGCUUAUUGUUAUCGUCGCUCUCCUGACACCCCAACUGGUGGUUGCCAUUUUCUUCAAGCUGUUGUCGCCAGGACGAAUAGCUUACUUCUGUCUAAGGUCCGAGACGGACUCCUUCGAGUCCCGUUGUUGCACGUGUUCAAGAGAAGACUUCAGGGACACGGUUCGUGCACCGCAUUCUUUUUAUUAAGGCAUCGCAAUCAAUAAUUAUUUCUCUAUGAUAAUUCACAUUUCAAUCUUUGUUUUUGUUUUGAGAGCGAGAGACAAUAAAACCCGCAGACGUCAGCUUUAUUGUAUGCAAGUCUUGAUAGUUCAGAUGGAGAUGACUGAGAAGAUAUGGAAGGAACAAGAAAAACUGAAUCGUUAAUAUAUUAGUAAUAGCGGCAAAUCAAGUUUAGAUAUACAAAUCUUGA